UACGUAGGGGGCAAGCGUUGUCCGGAAUCAUUUGGGCGUAAAGCGCGUGUAGGCGGCUCGAUAAGUCUGCUGUGAAAGUCCAGGCUCAACCCUGGGAUGCCGGUGGAUACUGUCGAGCUCGAGUCCGGAAGAGGCGAGUGGAAUUCCUGGUGUAGCGGUGAAAUGCGCAGAUAUCAGGAGGAACACCAAUGGCGAAGGCAGCUCGCUGGGACGUGACUGACGCUGAGACGCGAAAGCGUGGGGGAGCAAACAGG
rnacentral:rRNA from 1 species